GAAUUGUCUAAAUGUGCAUACUAAAAUUGGAAUGAUACAGGGAAGAUUAGCAUGGUCCCGGUGCAAGGAUGACACGCAAAUUUGUGAAGAAUUGGCUAAACAA